rnacentral:rRNA from 1 species
UACAGAGGUCUCAAGCGUUGUUCGGAUUCAUUGGGCGUAAAGGGUGCGUAGGUGGUUGGGUAAGUCUGAGGUGAAAUCACCGAGCUUAACUCGGAAACUGCCUUGGAUACUAUCCAGCUUGAGAGUUGGAGGGGGGACUGGAAUUCUCGGUGUAGCAGUGAAAUGCGUAGAUAUCGAGAGGAACACCAGUGGCGAAGGCGAGUCCCUGGACAACUCCUGACACUGAGGCACGAAAGCUAGGGAGCAAACAGG